rnacentral:rRNA from 1 species
UUAAAAAGAAAGGCUUGGUUAAAAAGUAAUCUUUGAAGCCAAAGCGAAGGCAAGUUUUAUUUUGUAAAGAAAUGGAGCGUCGGUCUUUUUUUUUAGACCCGAAGCCGAGUGAUCUACCCAUGACCAGGGUGAAACAUUUCUGAUUGAAAUUGGAGGCCCGAACCGACUAAUGGUGAAAAAUUAGCGGAUGAGUUGUGGGUAGGGGCGAAAAACCAAUCGAACUCGGCACUAGCUGGUUCUCUCCGAAAUGUAUUUAGGUACAGCAAUAAAUAAGAAAAAAAGGGGUAAAGCACUGUUUCAUUUGGGGGCUUCGAAAGUUGUACCUCAGUGUGGCAAACUCUGAAUACUUUAAUUUCUUUUAUUUAUUAGUGAGACAGCGGGGGAUAAGCUCCGUUGUCAAAAGGGGAACAGCCCAGAUCACUAGUUAAGGCCUCUAAAUAAGAAUGAUAGUGAUAAAGGUUGUAGACGUGCUGAAACCGCCGAUAGGUCCGCUCAGAAGCAGCCAUCCUUUAAC